ensembl:lncRNA
CCUGGAGAAGACUCACUUCCAGCAACAUGCAGGUCCAAACCGGAGUGGAGAUGUUGGCGGCGUUGGCAGUCGUCCUACUGGCUGCUGGUGGAGCUGAUGGAAUGACCAAGUGCGAGUUGAAGAAGGAAAUGACGGCGAAGCUGCCCACCAAAGUUCUGAACUUCAUCAAAAAGGACAUGGCCAACAUUAUCUGCAGUGUGGAGAUGAUGAGUGGCUUCAAUACCAGCUUAGUCAAGAACAUCACUUUAAGUGAAAAACAGGACGGCGUUCGCUACGCUAGGUCUGCACCUGAGGCGUCCAAUGAAGAAUCCAACGAGAAGCCCAAGAAGAUGAAACCUGGUUGCACUUCUACAACGGUUAAACCAACCACUGCUACACAAGGUAACACGUCUUCACCUGGAAGCAGCACCACUUCAUUUGGAAACAGCACGUCUUUACCUGGAAGCAGGAUGGGUCGACGCCGUGUCAGGUCUGCGUACGACUCAACCACCAAGGACAACCAUGAGAGCCAGGAGAACUUCAAGGCCAACAGUAGCAAAGUCCACCCAACCGAUCACCCCAAAGAAAACGCCAUGUUCUCCCUUGGUGGCCAUAGUCCUCGCCUCGCCAGGGCUGCCAGAAUGGGUCACCACAGUGUAGUUGAACGUACCACUAGUAGCAGCCCAGUUACACACAAGCCUCAUCAUACAACCCUUCACAAGAGGUCCACACACAGGUCAAGCAUGGAGUCUGAUGAAGAUAAUGUGAGUGUCAACUCUACCUCCAUUCCCUCGUCUUCUGGGCGUCAUCGGGGUAACAACACGUCCUCUGAGAAAGGUCACGGCAAGCGGCGCGCCAGGUCUACCCAUAAGUUUAGCCUUCUGGCGGAGUGGUCAACUGGGAGCGGCUCCAGAGAGAUCCCCGAUAUGAAGCCUACCAAAGAGCCCAUGGUGGAUCCUGGAAGAGAACCCAGCAAGACGUUCAGUGAGGAAUCAAAUGAGGAAUCCAAUGAAGAAUCUAAUGAGGAAUCCAGCGAGGAAUCUAAAGAGGAACCAAGUGAGGAAUCCAGCGAGGAAUCCAAGGAGGAAUCCAAAGAGGAACCCAGCGAGGAAUCAAGUGAGGAAUCCAAGGAGGAAUCCAAAGAGGAACCCAGCGAGGAAUCAAGUGAGGAAUCCAAGGAGGAAUCCAAGGAAGAGUCCAAGGAGGAACCCAGCGAAGAAUCAAGCGAGGAAUCCGAUGAAGAAUCCCCGGAGGAAUCCGAUGAAGAAUCCUCUGAGGAAUCCCAUGAGGAACCCACUUGGAAACCCACUGAGAAACCCACUGAGAAACCUACUAGGCCUUUUAAAUUUAACUUUACUUCCAUUGCCCCAAUUCAAUGGAAUAAUUUCACCUCUUUCAAUGUCUCCCAUUUUGGUGGGCGCGUCCGCCGUGAUGUCAGAUCUGUUGAGUCUGAGUCGAGCGAUGAGGCUGUAGAUGAGGUCUGGACCCUCUACGGUCUGUUCCAGCUCCCUGGGCAGCUCGUCUGCUCCUCCGGAUCCGAACCCACCCUUAACCUCUGCAACAUGCCCUGCACAGAUCUUCUAAAUGAUGACAUCACUGAUGACAUAACCUGUGUUGGAACCCUCAUAAGUGACAUAAUGAUGAGGGAUAAAUUCCAUGUUUACGCUCACCGCGACAUCCGAGCCCUGUUUGAUGUUUAUCAGAAGAAAGAAUGCGCCAACCUGAAGGACAACUGCUGAUCCUCAGCUCUUCAUUUCCUGUAGAUCUGAACUGUUCUGUAGCUCAUAGUUAAAUACAGAAACAAAUUUAACAAUAAAACAAUGUGGACAAAAUAAAUAAUUAAAUUA